GAAAUGCGAUAAGUAAUGUGAAUUGCAGAAUUCAGUGAAUCAUCGAAUCUUUGAACGCACAUUGCGCCCGCCAGUAUUCUGGCGGGCAUGCCUGUCCGAGCGUCAUUUCAACCAUCAAGCCCCCGGGCUUGUGUUGGGGACCUGCGGCUGCCCGCAGGCCCCGAAAACCAGUGGCGGGCUCGCUGUCACGCCGAGCGUAGUAGCAAUCACCUCGCUCAGGGCGUGCUGCGGGUUCCGGCCGUUAAACAGCCUUACAAAACCCAAGGUUGACCUCGGAUCAGGUAGGAAGACCCGCUGAACUUAAGC
rnacentral:misc_RNA from 1 species